UACAGAGGUCUCAAGCGUUGUUCGGAUUCAUUGGGCGUAAAGGGUGCGUAGGCGGCGCGGUAAGUCGGAUGUGAAAUCUCGGAGCUUAACUUCGAAACUGCAUUCGAUACUGCCGUGCUUGAGGACUGGAGAGGAGACUGGAAUUUACGGUGUGGCGGUGAAAUGCGUAGAUAUCAUAAGGAAGACCAGUGGCGAAGGCGGGUCUCUGGACAGUUCCUGACGCUGAGGCACGAAGGCCAGGGGAGCAAACGGG
rnacentral:rRNA from 1 species